rnacentral:rRNA from 1 species
CAGUAGCCGCGGGAAUACGUAGGGUGCAAGCGUUGUCCGGAAUUAUUGGGCGUAAAGAGCUCGUAGGCGGUUUGUCGCGUCUGCUGUGAAAUCCCGAGGCUCAACCUCGGGCUUGCAGUGGGUACGGGCAGACUAGAGUGCGGUAGGGGAGAUUGGAAUUCCUGGUGUAGCGGUGGAAUGCGCAGAUAUCAGGAGGAACACCGAUGGCGAAGGCAGAUCUCUGGGCCGUAACUGACGCUGAGGAGCGAAAGCGUGGGGAGCGAACAGGAUUAGAUACCCCCGUAGUCCCUGUCUCUUAUAC